UUAUAUAUUCGCACCAAUUUAGUUAUAUAUUUAAUAGUUACUGCCUUUUAAUUAUUUAAUAUAUAUUUAUUAUUUCAUAAUAUGUAAAAAUAUUUAAUACAUAAAAUAAUUUAUAUGUAUAAUGUUGAUCCCGCGCUCUUAAUCUAGUAGUAUGUAUUUGUUUUUAAACAGAUGAACCUUGACCAUUUUUUUUUUUAAAAAAAUACGUAAUAUAAGCCCUGUUCGGGAACGCGCUAGGCGCUAGUCGGGUGGUCAGGUUGGGCCUAGCGUCUAAAAAGAAAAUCGGGAAUUAAUUGAAAAUUAUGCGGGGCGAAAUUUUUAGAUUGUCUAAUAUGUUAUAAAACAUGUUAAUCUUUAAUUGUGUAUAACAUUAAUACAUUUUCCUGUUUAAGAUUGUAUAAAACACACAAAUAGAAUAUAUAAACUUAAUAUAGUGUAAUUUUCAUCAAAAUUAUGAAUAUAAAUGAUAUUUAUAAAAUUUUAGAUCAAAUAAAUAAAUAAAAAUAUUAUUAAAAAUAAAAUAAAUAAUUAAAAAAUAAUUAAAAAAAUAGAUUAGGCGGCCGCCUCGGCGGCUAGGCAGUCAUUUAGGCGGUCUAGGCGGAGAAAAUCGGAUAUCCGAUUUUUUAAACCGAUUUGGCAUAAAUCGGGGUGGAAAAGUGACGCGUAGCGUCCACGCGGCCGCCCAGACGGCUAGGCUGCCGAUUUUUACAUCAAGGAAUAUAAGUAUACCAUUGAUCAACGCGAACAUUAACUUUUAGUUUAAAGCUUGAUCCAUUUAAUUAAAUUCCUUUUCAGUUAAGAUCUACUUCGAUAGAAGAGGCUAACGGCCUCUCUUCUUGGUUCACAUUACGGAGAGGUGACCGUCGGGUAUGAUCUCUGUAACUCAGGUCGGCUGAUGUACGAAAGACAAGGUAAGAAUAUGACAAACCUAUUAUGAUUGGGCCUCAAAUGUCUGUAAAGCCUAAACGAAUUUCACAAACGGGUUAAGGCCGUAAGCUAUUCUAAGGCUGGCCCUUUAAUUUUUCUAGAAGCCCAAAACCAUUUUGUUUUAAAAUCAACAAAUGGUAGGGUGAAAAGUGUCCUAAAAUACCCUAUGGAAACAGAAGAGUAUUUUAUAGUGUUAGAUUACACGGACAAAUGUUCUCUUGUUCUGGACAAAUGUGACGAUAAGCUUGUCCGAUUUCUUUUAAGAUAUGUUUUUUUUUAUCAGCUGACUAAGAUAUGUUUUCUAAAUGACUGUUUACUCCAACUGGCAAGGAGAGAAAUGGGCGACGUCACGGACAGACUCCUCGAUCACCAACUAUACUGCAAGGCCAUAUUGAUAAACUCGCAAGGAAUUGAAUUUCCACACUCCAAAUGAUGGGAAUAAAGCGUUAUGAGAAUGGGUUGGGAAGACAUCUUGCUUAUCGAUGACAUAUAGAUUUUCUUAAAAUUUAUUUUUUUCUACAACCAAAAUUGCAGUCGUUGUAAAACAUCUUUUGAUACGGAAAAAAUUAACAUUUAUUUUUAAAAUAUUAUGCUUCUCACAUUGAAUUACUUUACAUUUUUAAUGUAUUUUCAGUUCACUUGUAUGAUCUGAUGGAUUUGGAAGACACUAAGGUUUUAUCAUACAUACAAUAAAUAAAAAAGGAAUAUGAGCAUCAGAUAGAGGGUCAUGUCGGAUGUAAAAAUCAUUCAAUCAAGUUUUUACGUUUUGCCACGUAAUCAAGUGAUUUCAGAUGUUGGGCUUAAAUUUCUUUACGAGCUCGCAUGUUAAUCUGAAUGGCCCAGGAAGCCCAUUUUAUUGAAAGCAUCGUGACCUUAUUCUUCACCGACGCGAGAUCUCUUUUUCUCAUUUUGUCCAAACCCUAAUUUUUCUACAACGAUUCGUGAACCCUUUGCUCUUCCUCUUCUUCGUUUCCGUUUCACGAAUCUGAUCUAUGAUCAAUCAAUACACUCUCCACUUCUUUAUCCCUUUAAUCUCAUAAACUUACCAGGCGGGAUCUAUGAACAAGAUGAGUGUAUCUCCGAAAGGGGUAUGAUUUUUUAAAAGCAUAAACAAUGUGGAGAGAAGCCUCAAGGAGUAUACUGUAGGCAACUGGAUCGAUUAUACGAGGUUUUCGGAUCUGAAACUGGGGGCAGUGUAAAAAGCUUCUUUGAAGAGCAUAAUAUUGGAUUCAGUCACUCAGAAAUAAUCAGUUACAUAAGGCUUUCCAUUCUCUUAUUGAAACGAAGCUGUGGAUGAAGGUAUUGUUGUCUGAGGUGGACGCAAUCAGCUAAGACUUGCUUCGAAAGUGGAUGCCACUAAAGAGAUUCUUAGGAAACAAUGAAUAAAAGAUUGGAGCUGACAUUGUUAAGUAAGACAGAGCUACCCGUUGAAGUAGGUGUUAAAGGAAGCGUUGUCAGCAAAGAGGUACUCUCUAUCGACCACCCAAAACACGGUUGCAACGUUGCAACUGGCACAUACAAAGAUCUUUUGUCAGCAGGAGCCAUUGAUCCAACCAAAAUGAAAAUGAUCAUUACUUAAUUACAGAUUGAAGUACUCUGUUCUGCAUGCUAACCGAGUGUUUUUCUUAGGGUUGUGAGAUGUUUCUUACAGUAUGCUUCAACCAUAGCUAAAGCAUCUUUGAUGUCCAAGUGUGUUGUUGUCGACAUCAAGGAGCCUGACUCAGCAGCUUCUGCUGAUUUUAGAGCACGUGAUGGUGGACAAAAAGAUUUACAUGAUUUGCAAUGUGUAAUGAUCAACAGAUUUUAGUGACACAGAAAUUGGUGUUGCACAAAAAAGAAAGAGAGAGUUACAUAUUUAGACACAUUUGUCUUUCUUCUUACUCAAUUAGACACUUUAUGUUUGUAGGACACAAUUGCCGGUUUUGAUGCAAUAUUGAGACCAUAAUACCCUUCUGCUGAGGAAACAAGAUUGGCUGCCGUAAGAGAAAACAUAAAGGUAGUUUAUUAGUUUAGUUGACAUAUUAAUUGGUUUUGUAUUCCUCCAACAUAUUUUAUUGGUCACUAUUGUAAAUUAUAAUGUAUAAAAUUUUAUAUUUAUGCGUAAAAACAAAUUAUGAUU